UAUCUCUGUAGAGUCUGCAUAUCAAUAAGCGGAGGAAAAGAAACUAACUAGGAUUCCCUCAGUAACGGCGAGUGAAGCGGGAAGAGCUCAAAUUUGAAAUCUUCAAGGUUCUACCUUGACGAAUUGUAGUUUAAAGAAGUGUUUUCUGUUGGAGUUUUAGGUAAAAGUUCUUUGGAAUAGGACAUCAUAGAGGGUGAGAAUCCCGUAUUUGACCAUUAUUUCCAGCUUUGUGAUACACUUUCAAAGAGUCGGAUUGUUUGGGAAUGCAGUCCAAAAUGGGUGGUAAAUUUCAUCUAAAGCUAAAUAUUGGCGAGAGACCGAUAGCGAACAAGUACCGUGAGGGAAAGAUGAAAAGAACUUUGAAAAGAGAGUUAAACAGUACGUGAAAUUGUCAAAAGGGAAGCGUUUGACACCAGUGUUGUUUUCUCGAAAAUCAAUUAAAAAAGGCAGGAUUUUGUGUUGUAUUGACUUUAUCAGCUUUCUGCACUCUUUUCUUGUCUUUUUUAAUGCACUUUUCGUUUAACAAGUCAACAUCAAUUUCCUUUGUUGUAAAAGAGUCAUUGGAAGGUGGCUUUCACUUCGGUGAAAGUGUUUAUAGCCUUUGGCUUCUGCAAUCAGAGAGAUUGAGGUCUGCAGCGUAGAUCCUUCGGGGCUAGAUACGUAGAUGCUAAGUUAUAGUUUUUUAUAGACAACUUGUUGACUAUAAUUAAUCAUGUAGCUUACUCGUUUGCGCUAUUUUACCUACGCUUAGGAUGUUGACGAUCAGCUGAGCGCG
rnacentral:rRNA from 1 species